rnacentral:rRNA from 1 species
UACGUAGGGGGCAAGCGUUGUCCGGAUUUAUUGGGCGUAAAGAGCGUGUAGGCGGCCAUGUAGGUCCGUUGUGAAAACUCGAGGCUCAACCUCGAGACGCGGAUGGAAACCAUGUGGCUAGAGUCCGGAAGAGGAGAGUGGAAUUCCUGGUGUAGCGGUGAAAUGCGCAGAUAUCAGGAAGAACACCCGUGGCUAAGGCGGCUCUCUAGUACGGUACUGACGCUGAGACGCGAAAGCGUGGGGAGCGAACAGG